ensembl:lncRNA
GUAGAUUCCAACAUCAAAGGAUAUCAUGACGUCAAUGGCUGUUGCCAUGGCAACUCGGAACUACGUGGCUCUGACGUGCGAAACACAACAGCCAAUAGGAAAACACAACGAAAUUAACCUCUUACGGAGAGUGUAGGACCCUAUAAGCAGAGGACGGACCCUUCUGAUUGGACAGGCGGACUGUCUGUCAACAGGAAAUGAGGACUCGCUCGCUUGCUAGACCUUCAUUCCGCGCGAAAAUACGGCGAAAGAAAGAAUGUUUGUCGUCAAAAGUUGUUGGCGAACCAGCCGAUUUUUUGCAGUGGUUGUGGACAGAUACUUGGAAAAAGUCUGGAGUCUUUGGCUCAACCCACCAAUGGACCAACUUCAGUAUCACAGAAUGCUCCAUCCAACUCAACCCCAAGAUUUAAAACCUUUCUGGAAUACCGGAAGUAAAAAGGAGAGGAAAGGCAAAAGUUUUCCUUUGGCAAAAUGCAGGACAAGAAAAAGGAAAAGAGGAAAGUGCAGCUGGAAAAGUGUCUGACAUUUCUGACUCUGACACAGAGAUUGUGAUUAAAAAGAGCCCUCACAACAUUUGAGCUAGCUGACACGUUGCCAUGUGAACCUGUGCAUGAAAGCAGUGCAAUACAGAGGAUAUCCGUCCAAGUACCUCCGGAUGUCCUGGAAUGGCGAGAACAUAUUACAGCAACUACACAGACCUGUAUGCGCCUAUCGUCAGUGAUGACGACGAAGAUCUAACUGUCAAACAAAAUAAUGAGGCAUCUCCUAGAACCAAUGCACACAAGUGCACCUGAAAUAAUUGCAAAUUUGGCGCUUGCCAUUGACCACAGCAAAGUCAGCAGAUUCCACGUGUCCAGAUCUAAUGUAUGGGAUGGUGCUGUCAGAGGUUUUCAGCGUUGCACGUACUCUGAGGAGAAUGACAUGUUUGUGAAGUUUACCGAUGACGCUGGCUCCCAUGAAGAAGGCCUAGACACCGGCGGGCCGAGGCGGGAAUUCCUCACGCUUCAGAUGAAUGAUCUGAUCUUUGACGGACCUCCAGAAAGCCGUUACCUGGUGUACAACUCUACAGAUUCAAAGAAGAACUUUUUGUUCGCACUCCAGCAGCAUCCGUGUGUGUUGGCCCCACUCUUGUGCCACUCUCAGACAAACCUUACAGCUGCCGACAUGGAAAGCCUGUUCACACCACUCCUCAGUCCAGCAGAAAGUAAUAGUCAGCAGAAAGAAGGCAAAGCUCUUGGAUUUUGGGCAGAUUUUCUUCUUGAUUGGGAAGGUUUGUUAUAGCUUUUUUAUAUGGUGUUUGUAAAAAGUGAACCAGCCCAGUCACCUCCAGUCAGCAUCGGCGUUGUUCCUGGUUCAUCAUCAGGUUGCUGCUAUUCCUUUCACCACCACCACCAGUGUCUGGACUCCAGGAGGAUUAAGC